GCCCUUCCUACGGGAGGCAGCAGUGGGGGAUAUUGCACAAUGGGCGCAAGCCUGAUGCAGCGACGCCGCGUGAGGGAUGACGGCCUUCGGGUUGUAAACCUCUUUCAGUUGGGAAGAAGCCUUUCGUGGUGACGGUACCUUCAGAAGAAGCACCGGCUAACUACGUGCCAGCAGCCGCGGUAAUACGUAGGGUGCGAGCGUUAUCCGGAAUUAUUGGGCGUAAAGAGCUCGUAGGCGGUUUGUCACGUCUGCUGUGAAAGCUCGGGGCUUAACUCCGAGUGUGCAGUGGGUACGGGCAGGCUGGAGUGCAGUAGGAGAGACUGGAAUUCCUGGUGUAGCGGUGAAAUGCGCAGAUAUCAGGAGGAACACCGAUGGCGAAGGCAGGUCUCUGGGCUGUUACUGACGCUGAGGAGCGAAAGCAUGGGGAGCGAACAGGAUUAGAUACCCUGGUAGUCCAUGCCGUAAACGUUGGGCACUAGGUGUGGGGAACAUUCCACGUUUUCCGCGCCGUAGCUAACGCAUUAAGUGCCCCGCCUGGGGAGUACGGCCGCAAGGCUAAAACUCAAAGGAAUUGACGGAAGGGC
rnacentral:rRNA from 1 species